GUUUAAAUAGUUUAUCAAGAAUGAUAAUUUGUGGUAUUAUUGGUGUAUAUUUAUAUUACUUUAAGCC
rnacentral:tRNA from 1 species